rnacentral:rRNA from 1 species
GAUGAACGCUGGCGGCGUGCUUAACACAUGCAAGUCGAACGGAGAAGCCGGACCUUGAUCUGUCGGGUCAGUGGCAAAGGGGUGAGACACACGUGAGCACUCCGCCCCUGACCCUGGGAUAACCGCUGGAAACGGCGUCUUAUCCUGGAUGUGUGACGUUACGGCAUGGUGUUGGUAUGGAAUGAUUUUUCGGUUGGGGAUGGCCUCCUGGCCGCUCAUCUUGUGGGUGAGGUACUGGCUAACCAGGGAGUGGACGGGUGGCCGGCCGGGGAGGGUGACAGGCCACACGGGGACUGAGACACGGCCAAGACUCCUACGGGAGGAAGCAGUGGGAAAUAUUGCACAAUGGGCGAAGGCCUGAGGAAGCAAGGCGGGUGGGGGGAGAACGCCCUUCGGUUGUAAAACCUCUUCGAGCAGGAAGGAACCUAUAGUGACGGUACCUGGAUAAGAAGCACCGGCUAACUACGUG